rnacentral:rRNA from 1 species
UACGAAGGUCGCUAGCGUUGUUCGGAAUCACUGGGCGUAAAGCGCGUGUAGGCGGACUGUUAAGUCAGGGGUGAAAUCCCGAGGCUCAACCUCGGAACUGCAUUCGAAACUGUGUGUCUCGAGUCCCGGAGAGGUUGGCGGAAUUCCAGGUGUAGGGGUGAAAUCCGUAGAUAUCGGGAAGAACACCAGUGGCGAAGGCGGCCCCCUGGUCGGGUACUGACGCUGAGACGCGAAAGCGUGGGGAGCAAACAGG